rnacentral:lncRNA from 1 species
AGGAAGGGCAUAGCCAUAGCUGUUGGCAGAGAGACCAGGUGAAGUUUCAGGGUCUCCAAGCUCCAGACAAGGCUGAAACUGGUCCCUAGCCUAUUGAUCUCCUGUACCACCCACAACCAUCACUUUCUGUCAGAGGAGGAUGUCCCUGCCCUUUUCUGGUAAUGUUUACGGCAACUCAGCUGCACUUAGCCAACACUUUAGUCAGGCAAAGAGAUACUUAACAGACUUGGCUGGGGCCAUGAACAUAGAUUGGUUUAACCACUUCAACAGUUAGUUUUAUCACAAAAUCCCAUCUGGCAGAUACAAAACCGCAGACUUGGAGGGGACCCAAUGAUGAUCAACACCACAAUCGUCUAACAAACAAAUUUUACCUUUUUUGUGCUUUGGUGGACAUUUUGUUUUAACCAUCAACAGGAAUUAAAGGCAAAUCUCCACACAACAGAUAUUAAGACAACCACGAACAUAGUUGGAUCCCUGUGUGCCCCUGGUUACUAUAGCUUGCUUGUCCUACAGAAUCCCAACAGUCUUGGUUUUAUUUUAUUUAUUUUAAAACCAGAUGACUAGUGCUCAUGUGAUGGCCUGGGAAUCCGAUUCAGAGGCUGAACUGGAGGAAUCCCAGCCUGCACAGGAGUCCCCGCCACCAGGGCUGGCUGAACUGGGGCAGGACCUUGAUUCUGAAGCGCCUACACCUGUGCCGGAUCCUCAGGAGCAGGCACCAGGUGAAUCCACUCUGGCUCCGGAGGUGGUUGAGGACUCAGUGCCUACAGGUGAGUCUCCCCCUGGGUCCAGUAACCCUUCAGCCUCUCCUGAACUACAGAGGCUCAGGGCAGAGAGGCGAAGGGAACAGGAGGAGUGCUCGCCUUAAGGCCAGGAGAGGCGGGUCUCCUGGGGGCCAGGACCGCCCCUGGCCUCAGAGAAGAUAAAGGCCAGUCAGCCCGGUCCCAGGUUGCGGGAGCAACGUCGUUGAAGAGCUGUUUCGGCCAGCAUCCAGUCCUGUUCCCCCAGAGUUCCUGUCCUUGCCCGGCUUCUCGCUGUGGACCCCGCUUCGCCCGAGGAGGACUGUCUGCCGACCCUCAACUCAGGUCCUGGACCUCGCCCCACGGUAACCUCCCCCCUGGACCAGCACAGCUCAUCACACACACCACAGAUGUAGCGAGAGAAGGUCAGACUAAGACUGAGGUUUGUAUCCAACUAAGUCCAAGCAGAGCAGACCCAUUGAAAGACUUAAGUCAGUCAUCUCCAUUAAUUUCAGUGACUCUACUCUGAUAUUCAAUCAAUAAUAGGACAUGUGUCUCUGAGGAUCCUACAGUAUGACUGAUGCCACAUUCCCACCAUGGGUUUAAGGCACUAUGAUCCCACUUUGAACAGUCAUGACCUCCCCUCAAAGAAUUCUGGGAGCUGUACUUUGUGAUGGGUGCUGAGGGUUGUUAGAAGACCCCUAAUCUCUUAUCAGAGCUAGAAUUAUUGUCAGAGUUGUUCAACAAUCAGUUUCUCUUCCCAGGGGACUCGGGUUCCUCACCCCUGACAUGGGCUCUGACUAUCUGGCCACGGCUCUCAGCUUCUGACUCCCCACUUAUCCAUGCCAAUGGCUUGUAAAAGAACCCAUUGCCAAAUGAACAAAUGUAGCCGGUAGUGUAGAAACCAGCUUGCAGAAUUUAGGGGGGGGGGAGAGGGAGGUGGGAAACCCCAGGCAAAUGUUCUUUGUUGCGCGAGAAUAGAGAGUGUUAGACGUUUGUUCCUAUUUUCACUUGCAUAACAGUGAAGGAUAUAUGACCAGGGAAUGUGACUUAUGGUCCUUUCUGGAUGAAGCACCUUGUUGCUGUGCCCUGGUUUCCUAAGUUGAAAUUAAAGUACAAGCUUGCAUUUAGGCAUUUGACUCCUCCAUAUAUAUAUUUAUAGAGGCUCUGCCUUCGGGAAUCCAGCCAGUAAAUCUUGUCCUGUAUGUUAGAAGCUGAUAACAGCGUGGUACACAAAAGGCAAGAGGGAAGGAAGUGGAAAUGAGCGAUAAGAGGUUCACCCAGAUACUUCUUUUGUUAUUGUGCAAUUUGAUAGGUAUAUUUCCCUGCCCAAUAAAUGACAAAGUGGCUUUCUUUGGGUAACAAAGAGCCCAGCUUUUUCUGUGAUCAAUAGUGAUGUGCAACCAAUAAAUUAUAAAACUUUUCCCCCAACCUUUUUUGUGCUAGUCUUAAGUUGGAUGGAGCGGUAAGGAAGAAACUGCAUGAAGAAGGUUAAGAAAUGGUUUUGUUUACAGAUCAAAAAAGGGAGUGCUUACCAGAAUAAAGGAAUAACAAAGUAACACAUCU